rnacentral:rRNA from 1 species
GAUGAACGCUGGCGGCGUGCCUAAUACAUGCAAGUCGAGCGAACAGACGAGGAGCUUGCUCCUCUGACGUUAGCGGCGGACGGGUGAGUAACACGUGGAUAACCUACCUAUAAGACUGGGAUAACUUCGGGAAACCGGAGCUAGUACCGUAUAAUAUAUUGAACCGCAUGGUUCAAUAGUGAAAGACGGUUUUGCUGUCACUUACAGAUGGAUCCGCGCCGCAUUAGCUAGUUGGUAAGGUAACGGCUUACCAAGGCAACGAUGCGUAGCCGACCUGAGAGGGUGAUCGGCCACACUGGAACUGAGACACGGUCCAGACUCCUACGGGAGGCAGCAGUAGGGAAUCUUCCGCAAUGGGCGAAAGCCUGACGGAGCAACGCCGCGUGAGUGAUGAAGGUCUUCGGAUCGUAAAACUCUGUUAUUAGGGAAGAACAAAUGUGUAAGUAACUAUGCACGUCUUGACGGUACCUAAUCAGAAAGCCACGGCUAACUACGUG